rnacentral:rRNA from 1 species
CCUGAGUACGACGGAGCACGUGAAAUUCCGUCGGAAUCUGGGAGGACCAUCUCCUAAGGCUAAAUACUCUCUAGUGACCGAUAGUGAACCAGUACCGUGAGGGAAAGGUGAAAAGUACCCCGGAAGGGGAGUGAAAGAGAACUUGAAACCGUGUGCUUACAAGUAGUCAGAGCCCGUUAAUGGGUGAUGGCGUGCCUUUUGUAGAAUGAACCGGCGAGUUACGAUCUGAUGCAAGGUUAAGCAGAAAAUGUGGAGCCGUAGCGAAAGCGAGUCUGAAUAGGGCGAAUGAGUAUUUGGUCGUAGACCCGAAACCAGGUGAUCUACCCUUGGUCAGGUUGAAGUUCAGGUAACACUGAAUGGAGGACCGAACCGACUUACGUUGAAAAGUGAGCGGAUGAACUGAGGGUAGCGGAGAAAUUCCAAUCGAACUUGGAGAUAGCUGGUUCUCUCCGAAAUAGCUUUAGGGCUAGCCUCAAGUGAUGAUUAUUGGAGGUAGAGCACUGUUUGGACGAGGGGCCCCUCUCGGGUUACCGAAUUCAGACAAACUCCGAAUGCCAAAUAAUUUAACUUGGGAGUCAGAAUGUGGGUGAUAAGGUCCAUAUUCGAAAGGGAAACAGCCCAGACCACCAGCUAAGGUCCCAAAAUAUAUGUUAAGUGGAAAAGGAUGUGGCGUUGCCCAGACAACUAGG